rnacentral:rRNA from 1 species
CAUAUCAAAAAGCGGAGGAAAAGAAACCAACCGGGAUUGCCUUAGUAACGGCGAGUGAAGCGGCAAAAGCUCAAAUUUGAAAUCUGGUACCUUCGGUGCCCGAGUUGUAAUUUGUAGAAGGUAACUUUGGGGCUGGUCCUUGUCUAUGUUCCUUGGAACAGGACGUCAUAGAGGGUGAGAAUCCCGUGUGGCGAGGAUCCCAGUUCUUUGUAAAGUGCUUUCGAAGAGUCGAGUUGUUUGGGAAUGCAGCUCUAAGUGGGUGGUAAAUUCCAUCUAAAGCUAAAUAUUGGCGAGAGACCGAUAGCGAACAAGUACAGUGAUGGAAAGAUGAAAAGAACUUUGAAAAGAGAGUGAAAAAGUACGUGAAAUUGUUGAAAGGGAAGGGCAUUUGAUCAGACAUGGUGUUUUGCGCCCUCUGCUCCUUGUGGGUGGGGGAAUCUCGCAGCUCACUGGGCCAGCAUCAGUUUUGGCGGCAGGAUAAAUCUGCAGGAAUGUAGCUUGCCUCGGUAAGUGUUAUAUCCUGUAGAAAUACUGCCAGCUGGGACUGAGGACUGCGACUUUACGUCAAGGAUGCUGGCAUAAUGGUUAUAUGCCGCCCGUCUUGAAACACGGACCAC